rnacentral:rRNA from 1 species
GACGAACCGUGCGAACGUUGUUCGGAAUCACUGGGCUUAAAGGGCGCGUAGGCGGGUUCGCAAGUCUGUGGUGAAAGCCCCCGGCUUAACCGGGGAAGGGCCGUGGAUACUGCGAAUCUUGAGGAGGGUAGGGGCAUCUGGAAAGGUCGGUGGAGCGGUGAAAUGCGUUGAUAUCGACCGGAACUCCGGUGGCGAAGGCGAGGUGCUGGACCCUUUCUGACGCUGAGGCGCGAAAGCCAGGGGAGCAAACGGG